rnacentral:rRNA from 1 species
UGGGGAAUAUUGGACAAUGGGCGAAAGCCUGAUCCAGCCAUGCCGCGUGUGUGAAGAAGGUCUUCGGAUUGUAAAGCACUUUAAGUUGGGAGGAAGGGCAUUAACCUAAUACGUUAGUGUUUUGACGUUACCGACAGAAUAAGCACCGGCUAACUCUGUGCCAGCAGCCGCGGUAAUACAGAGGGUGCAAGCGUUAAUCGGAAUUACUGGGCGUAAAGCGCGCGUAGGUUGUUUGGUAAGUUGGAUGUGAAAUCCCCGGGCUCAACCUGGGAACUGCAUUCAAAACUGACUGACUAGAGUAUGGUAGAGGGUGGUGGAAUUUCCUGUGUAGCGGUGAAAUGCGUAGAUAUAGGAAGGAACACCAGUGGCGAAGGCGACCACCUGGACUAAUACUGACACUGAGGUGCGAAAGCGUGGGGAGCAAACA